rnacentral:rRNA from 1 species
CUCUUCGGGGAUGAUUAAACCGGCGCACGGGUGAGUAACACGUGAGUGACCUGCCUUUUAGACUGGAACAACUUACCGAAAGGUGAGCUAAUGCCGGAUGAGUUAUAUAAGUGCAUGUUUAUAUAGGAAAAGUUGGGGAGACCUGACGCUGAAAGAUGGACUCGCGUCCCAUUAGCUAGUUGGUAGGGUAAUGGCCUACCAAGGCGACGAUGGGUAGCCGACCUGAGAGGGUGGCCGGCCACACUGGGACUGAGACACGGCCCAGACUCCUACGGGAGGCAGCAGUGGGGAAUUUUGCGCAAUGCUCGUAAGAGUGACGCAGCGACGCCGCGUGAAUGACGAAGGCCUUCGGGUCGUAAAGUUCUUUCGACAGGGAAGAAAAUGCCUAUAAGUAACUGUGUAUGUAUUGACGGUACCUGUAUAAGCAGCCCCGGCUAACUCCGUGCCAGCAGCCGCGGUAAUACGGAGGGGGCGAGCGUUGUUCGGAGUGACUGGGCGUAAAGAGCACGUAGGCGGUGUUGUAAGUCAUUAGUCAAAGACUAGAGCUCAACUUUAGUAAGGCUAGUGAUACUAUAAUACUAGAGUAUCAGAGAGGAUUGCAGAAUUCCUGGUGUAGCGGUGAAAUGCGUAGAUAUCAGGAGGAAUACCGUUAGCGAAGGCGGCAAUCUGGCUGGAAACUGACGCUGAGGUGCGAAAGCGUGGGUAGCAAACAGGAUUAGAUACCCUGGUAGUCCACGCUGUAAACGAUGGAUGCUAGGUGUUGGGCUUUUAAGUUCAGUGCCGCAGCAAACGCG